GGCAGCAGCCGCGGGAACACCGGCAGCUCUAGUGGUAGCUGUUUAUGGGCCUAAAGCGUUCGUAGCCGGUUUAAUAAGUCUCUGGUGAAAUCCUAUAGCUUAACUGUGGGAAUUGCUGGAGAUACUAUUAGACUCGAGAUCGGGAGAGGUCAGAGGUACUCCUGGGGUAGGGGUGAAAUCCUGUAAUCCUAGGGGGACCACCUGUGGCGAAGGCGUCUGACUAGAACGAAUCUGACGGUGAGGAACGAAAGCUAGGGCGCGAACCGGAUUAGAUACCCGGGUAGUCCUAGCCGUAAACUAUGCGGACUUGGUGUGAGGGUGGCUUUGAGCCGUCCUGGUGCCGAAGGGAAGCUGUUAAGUCCGCCGCCUGGGAAGUACGGUCGCAAGACUGAACUUAAGGAAUUGGCGGGGAGCACCACAACGCGUGGAGCCUGCGGUUUAAUUGGAUUCAACGCCGGAGAUCUCACCAGCGGCGACAGCAGUAUGAUGACCAGGUUGAUGACUUUGUUUGACAAGCUGAGUGGUGGUGCAUGG
rnacentral:rRNA from 1 species